rnacentral:rRNA from 1 species
UACAGAGGGUGCGAGCGUUAAUCGGAAUUACUGGGCGUAAAGCGCACGUAGGUGGCGACGUAAGUCGGGUGUGAAAGCCCCGGGCUCAACCUGGGAAUUGCAUUCGAGACUGCAUUGCUGGAGUACGGAAGAGGAGGGCGGAAUUCCCGGUGUAGCGGUGAAAUGCGUAGAUAUCGGGAGGAACAUCAGUGGCGAAGGCCGGCCCUCUGGUCCAGCU